CCUUACACAUGCAAGUCGAACGGCAGCACGGGAGCAAUCCUGGUGGCGAGUGGCGAACGGGUGAGUAAUGUAUCGGAACGUACCUUUCAGUGGGGGAUAACGUAGCGAAAGUUACGCUAAUACCGCAUAUUCUGUGAGCAGGAAAGCAGGGGAUCGCAAGACCUUGCGCUGAUUGAGCGGCCGAUAUCAGAUUAGCUAGUUGGUGAGGUAAAGGCUCACCAAGGCGACGAUCUGUAGCGGGUCUGAGAGGAUGAUCCGCCACACUGGAACUGAGACACGGUCCAGACUCCUACGGGAGGCAGCAGUGGGGAAUUUUGGACAAUGGGGGCAACCCUGAUCCAGCCAUGCCGCGUGAGUGAAGAAGGCCUUCGGGUUGUAAAGCUCUUUCAGCCGGGAAGAAAUCACAUGGGUUAAUACCCUGUGUGGAUGACGGUACCGGAAUAAGAAGCACCGGCUAACUACGUGCCAGCAGCCGCGGUAAUACGUAGGGUGCGAGCGUUAAUCGGAAUUACUGGGCGUAAAGCGUGCGCAGGCGGUUUGUUAAGAUAGGCGUGAAAUCCCCGGGCUCAACCUGGGAACUGCCUUUAUGACUGGCAGGCUAGAGUAUGGCAGAGGGGGGUGGAAUUCCACGUGUAGCAGUGAAAUGCGUAGAGAUGUGGAGGAACACCGAUGGCGAAGGCAGCCCCCUGGGCCAAUACUGACGCUCAUGCACGAAAGCGUGGGUAGCAA
rnacentral:rRNA from 1 species